rnacentral:rRNA from 1 species
UACGUAGGGGGCAAGCGUUGUCCGGAAUCAUUGGGCGUAAAGAGCGUGUAGGCGGUCCGGUAAGUCGGCUGUGAAAGUCCAGGGCUCAACCCUGGGAUGCCGGUCGAUACUGCCGGACUAGAGUUCGGAAGAGGCGAGUGGAAUUCCCGGUGUAGCGGUGAAAUGCGCAGAUAUCGGGAGGAACACCUAUGGCGAAGGCAGCUCGCUGGGACGUUACUGACGCUGAGGAACGAAAGCCAGGGGAGCGAAAGGG